rnacentral:misc_RNA from 1 species
CGCCUUUUAUACCUCCCAUAGGCUUCAGCCGGCGCGUUGGGAGCUGAUGAAACCGGUAAUACAACCGAGUAUCGCCGAAAUGAUAAAUUCACGUUCGGUUUUUCCGAUAAAUUUUCACAUUGACCCCGUGUCACGUGUCGAUCGUUCACGCGUCGCGUGGACGUUAUUUCGAAUUUAUCGGUAACUUUGCUAAUGCGGCGUACGUAGUACGUAGAUCGCGGCAUAGAUUUUCGGAAAUUGAAGGUAACGUUGCGCACGCGUGGUAUGACGCAACGUGCGUUCCUUUUUCCCCGAAGAACACUUGCAGGAUGUGUGUCGUUUUAAGGGGACUAAAAAUACAUACGAUUGGGGUCCGUGGAAUUCUAUCUAACUGGAUAUUUUGUUUGGACUAAGUAU